rnacentral:sRNA from 1 species
UUUUCCAAAAGCAGCAUCUUUUUAUGUUUUAACACAGCUGUUGCGCUUGCUCAGGUGCGUGUCACGUGUUACAGGAGUGAGUGUGAGACGGGAUCUUUUCCCCGAGAACUUAGUAACCCUUGGACAGAGGACGGGACUCACCACUUGUGGAACAUUAACACAGCAGCAGCUCCCAGAGCCCAUCCAGGCAUCACCAAGCUUCUCAGGGCUUGAAUUGAGGGGGGUGGAGAGUGAGCGAGGUGAGAUGUAGCCUGCGUGGCUUCCCUGUGCUGCUGAGGGACCCUGCAGGGACCAAGGCCUGUGUGGCUGGAGCAGAGGGCGCUGUGCAUGUAAGCCGUAGGCAUGGGCAGGUGGCGGUCUCUGAAGCUGCUCUCAGGUGACCGCUGUAGGCAGGGAGAGCAUUUGGAGAUUUCAGAAGGGACUAGCAUCAGGCGCAAGUGCUGUCUGGGAAGACUGGCUCUCAGCAGGUGCCAGCGUCCCGGGGCAGGCAGCGUCACUGCACCGUGACAAGAGCUCAGCUAGGGGUACUGGUGACAGCUGCCCUGUUGGAGGCUCACCCUGAGCUAGACUUUGCCCUUCGUUCUCUUGUGUCUUUCACCUGGCCCAGCGCUCAUGGACUGCCCCAGGCAGGGAUAAGGGUCUUACUAUUAAUUCCAUUUUACAGGUUAAGAAACUGAGGCACGUAGGCUGAGUUCCCACCCAAAUCCCACAACCAAUCAACUGCAACUCAAGCUAGGAUUUGGGGACCCAGGUGCUCAGGCUCAGCUGUGUGGGUGCUGGACCCCCACUUUGGGUCUUCCCUGGGAGGGGCUAGCCCUCCACAGCAGAGUGAGUAGAAGUGGAUGAAAAACUACAAAAGGGUGCUUGGUUUCAUUCAUGUUCACAAAAAUGCAAAUUCACUGAGAAGGGUGGUAACACCUAGUGGUAGCCAGGGUACCGGGGUCUUGUUGGACAGGAAUCAGUGGCCUCUUUUUGGAGAGGAUUUUGGUAAUUAAGCUAUGAAAAUGUGCAUGCUUAUUUAACUAAACACCCUCUUAUGUCCUGGAGAAAUAACUGAACAUUUACAAAGUGAUGAAUAUACAAGCUUGUUUGCUUCAUGAGUGUUAGAGGAAAUUAAAUGUCCAUUACUAAGAAUUUCAUUAAGUAAAUGAUGUAUCAUCCAAACAAUGGAAUAUUAAGCAAUUUUGAAAGUGGUUUUUUGUAAAGAGAAGAGAAACAGAUUUCAAAAUAUUUAUAAUUCAUGUCAUUUUUGCACACUUUCACGGUGAGCCACACAGAUAUGAACAGUGACUGAAGGCUAAAUACCAGUUUUAAUAUUCAGAUGUGAGUAGUUUGAGGAGUGUGGGUAAUUUUUACUUUGUAUUUUCUUAUGUAAUCUUAGUCUCUAUACAUACAAAAAUGGAAGUACUUCCAUUUACCAUUUUUUAAAUGGUAACUUAAGAGAAAAUGCGGGACGGGAGGCUGAGGCAGUCAUUUUGAAGUGAGGGACAGGCUGAUGUCGAGUGCUCGCUGAAGGAACAGGAAGUGAAAAGGCUUCUGUGGGAAACGGGACAGGAUGCGGUUACUGGUUCAGGAGAUGGAGGGAAGUGAAGGUGAUGUCCCGUGAGAUCACUGACAUCUGAACGCAGCAGCAUGUGUGAUGAGCCUGCAGGUCUUGCGGGAGCUUCAGAAGCGCGGGCUGACCUGUGACUUGACAUUUCCCUGCGGCGUGCAGAUCUCUCAGUUUUCCUUUCCUGUCGGGCUACUUUAAACUUUGUUGAUCUUUGUAAAUUUUCUCAUGGCAUGACCUCUUGUGGAGAAGUAUUUGGAAAGACAUACCAUGUCCUGAAUUUCUCUGGACUCUCCCAUUAUUUCUACUGUUUAGACCCGGGUUCCCACUUCUCAGCUGCAGGCGCAAGGGCAGAUGCAGACCCAGGCACCCCAGCCAGCCCAGGUGGCCUUGGCGAAGCCUCCGGUGGUGUCCGUCCCGGCAGCUGUGGUCUCCUCACCGGGAGUCACCACCCUGCCCAUGAACGUCGCGGGGAUCAGCGUGGCGAUCGGUCAGCCACAGAAGGCAGCAGGUGCCCGCCCCAGCACACCCUCCCGUCCUGGGCUUGAGCCUGGUUUCACAGGCCUCUCUGGUGGCAGUGGUCGCCAGCGACCCGUGUUCUUUCCUCACACCCACCCACUUGAGCGUGCCAUCACGUGUUCUAGCACAAACGUGCCUUGGCGCUUUCCAGGCGCAAGGCUGGGUCCUCAAUUGAACUGUUAACAUUCUGAAAUUUCCGUCUUAAUUUAAGUGUAAUUUGUGAACCCAGAAACAUUUUAAUGUAGUUAAGGGAUGGCUUACUUGUCUCCAUAGAGUUUCAUAGUUUGUUAUUUUCUGUAGAGGUGAGUCAGUUGGAACAGAGCUUGGCGUGAGCCUCAAGCUCUUUUCCCAGUGUGCUGACUAAGGGGCUUUUGCUGCCUGCAGGACAGACCGUGGUGGCCCAGCCCGUGCACAUGCAGCAGCUGCUGAAGCUGAAGCAGCAGGCAGUCCAGCAGCAGAAGGCCAUCCAGCCCCAGGCUGCACAGGGCCCGGCAGCCGUCCAGCAGAAGAUCACCGCACAGCAGAUCACCACCCCUGGCGCGCAGCAGAAGGUUGCCUACGCCGCGCAGCCGGCCCUUAAGACCCAGUUUCUUACCACACCCAUCUCCCAGGCCCAGAAACUGGCCGGGGCCCAGCAAGUGCAGACCCAGAUCCAGGUUGCAAAACUUCCUCAAGUUGUUCAACAGCAAACACCCGUGGCCAGCAUCCAGCAAGUUGCCUCUGCUUCCCAGCAGGCUUCUCCACAGACUGUGGCGCUCACGCAGGCGACGGCGGCCGGGCAGCAGGUGCAGAUGAUCCCUGCAGUGACCGCGACUGCCCAGGUGGUUCAGCAGAAACUCAUUCAGCAGCAGGUGGUGACCACGGCGUCGGCCCCGCUCCAGACUCCAGGCGCUCCCAACCCAGCCCAGGUGCCCGCCAGCUCCGACAGCCCAAGCCAGCAGCCCAAGUUACAGAUGAGGGUCCCUGCUGUCAGGCUAAAGACACCUACUAAGCCUCCGUGCCAGUAGUCAGGGCAGCAGGGCUGCCUCUCAUCUAAAGCAAAACUACCUUCCUCACAGAAAACGCUUUAUUAGUGAACCUUGGGACCAUGUCACGCAAGAGAUUCAGCACUGGGAAAGAUAUAAUUGAAACAAAAUAGUGUAAUCAUUUUAUUAAAAUGCAUCCCACACUGCAGGACAAAUGGUCCUUAUGGAGUGCCGCAUUCUCUGUACUACGUGGCUCAUGGAAAAAGUGACAACAUGGCUUCCUCUAAAUCAUUUCACCUUUCAGUCCCCACCCGCACCCGUCCCCUAGAGCCAUAGUACUGUGUUCUGAAAGCCAUUUAGAAUUUCUUUGUGAGUAUGUAGUGCUUUGCACGCCACAGAAGCCGUCUGCCGUGUGUGAGGAGCAUACAAUGGACUUUCUAAAGAUAAGGCGUGGGCUUCCACGGUGUCUGCCAGAGUUUAGUUCUUUAUACCUUACUGAAAAAUGCCUCAUGGUCUUCGUAGAGGAGAAGACCUGUCUAAAGUAAAUCAUCCGAGAUUGGUUUUCCAUUCCAAAGAAAGGCAAUAUGGUUCCUUCCUUCCCUCCUAAAAUGUGACUUAACUUUUAAGAGAAAUGUUCUGACACCCACCUAAACACACAAGGCACGUUCCUGGCCUGUGUUCAAGGGAAAUGAUCAGUCAUUGCAUUGUUAUUCCAAAGAGCAGCCGACAGUGGCCUCCCCCAGGCCCUACCCCGCAAUGGGAUUCGCUUUCAUUUAAUGGAAACUUCUGGGACUGAUGCCCAACUCAGUGCACUCAAGACGCAUCUCCAGCUUUCGGGGGAAGCUGGUAUUUCACAUAGUGUGUUAAACAGCUCCUGAGAACCUUUGGGACACUCUGCCAUGGCUGGCAUGAGGCCCAGAGGACCACGCAGAGGCAAUGGUCGUACAGAUGUCACAGCUGAGGGUACCAUGAGGCCUGGGCUCAGUGAGCCAGGACGAAUGUGACAGACACCCCUUGCUGCCACAGUCAGCCCUUUGACGAAGGUGGGCUGGUGAUUCUGGAAGUAUUGGCUAUAGCAGUGGGCCCAGUCAACUCUUCCUUGUGGACUUACGACAGCAGAUUUUCUCUAGGAUAAGCUCGUGUGGUUCUGCCAGUGAAGCAGAGAACCACCUGUGCUGUUGUGGAAGGCGUGCCGUUGAGGGGGAAAACGAAGCCCAGUAUUUGCUACUGUUUUUCUUUUUUUUACUAUGACAAGAAAAUAAAUGCAAUUUUAGUGGAA